AGAGUUUGAUCAUGGCUCAGAUUGAACGCUGGCGGUAUGCUUAACACAUGCAAGUCGAACGGUAACAGGCCUUCGGGCGCUGACGAGUGGCGGACGGGUGAGUAACGCGUAGGAAUCUGCCUCAUAGUGGGGGACAACGUGGGGAAACUCACGCUAAUACCGCAUACGCCCUACGGGGGAAAGCGGGGGAUCUUCGGACCUCGCGCUAUGAGAUGAGCCUGCGUUAGAUUAGCUAGUUGGUAGGGUAAAGGCCUACCAAGGCGACGAUCUAUAGCUAGUCCUGAGAGGACGAUCGGCCACACUGGGACUGAGACACGGCCCAGACUCCUACGGGAGGCAGCAGUGGGGAAUAUUGGACAAUGGGCGCAAGCCUGAUCCAGCAAUACCGCGUGUGUGAAGAAGGCCUAGGGUUGUAAAGCACUUUCAAUUGGGAGGAAAACCUGCCGGUCAAUACCCGGCAGCUUGACAUUACCUUUAGAAGAAGCACCGGCUAACUCCGUG
rnacentral:rRNA from 1 species